rnacentral:lncRNA from 1 species
CGAGACGAGACCCACCCCAAGACGUCAGCGAAACCACGAAACGACUACACAGACCCACCCCUGUGGAGGGAGAGGGCUUUCAACGCACACAACACCACAGAGCAAUGGUCGAACAAAAGAGGGCUUUCAAGGCACAAAACACCACAGAGCAAUGGUCGAUUGGAAGAGAGCGAGAGGAGACCGCGAGAGAGGAAGGAAGACCCUGUUUCAUCAAAACCAGAGAGCAAGGAAAGAGAAAUGGAAAAGAAACCGCGAAAUUGAAAAUAAAUCAAACUUUAUUUCAAUUUUGCCCUUCCUUCAGAAUUAAAAAGAAUUAAUUUUUUAAAACAAAAACACCCAAUGACACACCGACACCUGUCCAGUGUCAAAGUAGUGUCAAAUAAGGGUGUUGAAAUAUCAUUUCGCUUAUAGAAACUAUGUUAUACUAGUUUAAUUAAAAUCAGUUGUUUUAUUUUUUAUUUUUAUAAAUACUUAUCUAAAU